rnacentral:rRNA from 1 species
ACCAAGGUACACGAACUGAUUGAUCCAGUGACGGAGAACUUGGAUGUUGAGCUUGUGACGGAAUUGUUCACACUGGAGGAUGCAAGAACCAUUCUGGCUAUUCCCUUGAGAUUCGGGAUGGAGGAUUUUCUAUCAUGGCACUAUGAUAAGAAAGGGGUAUUUUCGGUCAAGUUGGCAUAUCAGGUUGGGGUGAGUCUCAAAGAGGCAAGAAAGUACCAGGAUGCUGGAACCUCCAGCACCCACGCUUUGACGUUAGAGAAGUGGCAGCAUAUAUGGAGCUUGAAUCUCCCAGGGAAAGUCUGCAUGUUCUUGUGGCGGUUGGCACAUAAUAGUCUUCCCAUAAAACUAAACAUCAAACGCAGGAAGAUCGAACUUGACACUCGAUGCCCCAUGUGUGCUAGACUGGACGAGGAUGGGGGACACCUUUUCUUGAGAUGUAAGACGGUUAAAGCAGUUUGGAGGGAGCAACGGUUAGAAGAUGUUAGGCUUCAGUUAUGUCAGUGCCGAGACUCCAUUGAUGUGAUUCAUGAGGUUUAUGCACUUCCAAUCGAGAAGAAGCUC